GGGUGUAUAGCUUAGUGGUAGAGCACAUGCUUAGCAUGCAUGAGGUCCUGGGUUCAAUCCCCAGUGCCCCCA
rnacentral:tRNA from 1 species